rnacentral:lncRNA from 1 species
AUGGAGAUGGGGGCACACGUGCCCCACCUGCCUCCCUAGGCUGUGAUCUGGAAAACUGCCUUCAUUUCCUGCACAGUGCCAAGAGGAGACUGCUGCCUGGCCAACGUGCUCAGCCCUUGGCCUCUCCUCGAGUUCCUAGACGUGGAAGAAAGUAAUCUGCUGAGAUGUCACUUGGGAGCCUUCCCCUGGAAAGUGUGGAAGUGGAAAGUUUCCACACUCGGUUCAGCGCCUGGACACCUUUUAAGAACCAGUCCUUAAACAGACAGCUCUUUCAGGAAAGAGUUACUCUCAUAAGUCACUGGUUUGACCUCUGGACCAACAAGCAACGGCGGGAAUUCUUAUUCGUGAUUCUUUCACAAUGCUCAAAAUCACAAUUAAGGCUGUUGAAGAUAAUGCUACUCUGAACACCUGUAUCCGGAUUUUUCUAAAGAGGAACUUUUAUUUUCCUAGUUUUGUUUUUCUUUAAAAUUCCAUUUUAGACCAGUUUCUAGGCUCUGUGUAUUCAUCAGAUUUAUGUAUUUAGUGUAUGUAGUGGAUGGUGGUUAGGCACGAGCCAGGGCGUGAGUGUGGAGAUUGGACAACACCUCGUGGGAAUUGGUAUCUUACUGCAUCACGUGGGUCCAGGUGGUUGAAUUCAGGUAGUGAGGCUUGCCAGCAAGUGCCUUUACCUGGGGCCUUUUCUUGACCCUUUUAUUUUUCUUAAGCAUUCAUACAAAAGAGCUUAGAAUACUUGCCUCCAGUGUACGAGGGCCUGGGUUCAGUCCCCAGAGUGGGAGAAAUGAAAGCUAUGAAGUGAAGUAUAUAUUGGGGAUUGAAAUGAGUGGCUGUAACAGUAACAGAACCAUCAAAUUUUGGUUAUUUAUUCAGUGUUUCUUUUUAAUCUUCUUAUUCCUGUAGUCUUUCUCCUCCCAAAUGUAAACAUAAUAAAUAUGAAAAAUAUACA